rnacentral:rRNA from 1 species
UACGGAGGGUGCAAGCGUUAUCCGGAUUCACUGGGUUUAAAGGGUGCGUAGGCGGGCAGGUAAGUCCGUGGUGAAAUCUCUGAGCUUAACUCAGAAACUGCCAUGGAUACUAUUUGUCUUGAAUAUUGUGGAGGUAAGCGGAAUAUGUCAUGUAGCGGUGAAAUGCUUAGAUAUGACAUAGAACACCAAUUGCGAAGGCAGCUACUACACAGUUAUUGACGCUGAGGCACGAAAGCGUGGGGAUCAAACAGG